GAUGAACGCUAUCUACAGGCUUAACACAUGCAAGUCGAGGGGCAGCAUGUCGGUUGCUUGCAACCGAUGAUGGCGACCGGCGCACGGGUGAGUAACGCGUAUCCAACCUUCCGCUUACUCGGGGAUAGCCUUUCGAAAGAAAGAUUAAUACCCGAUGGUAUCUUAAGCACGCAUGAGAUUAAGAUUAAAGAUUUAUCGGUAAGCGAUGGGGAUGCGUUCCAUUAGGCAGUUGGCGGGGUAACGGCCCACCAAACCUACGAUGGAUAGGGGUUCUGAGAGGAAGGUCCCCCACAUUGGAACUGAGACACGGUCCAAACUCCUACGGGAGGCAGCAGUGAGGGAUAUUGGUCAAUGGGCGAGAGCCUGAACCAGCCAAGUAGCGUGAAGGAUGACGGCCCUACGGGUUGUAAACUUCUUUUGUGCGGGAAUAAAGGAACCUACGUGUAGGUUUUUGCAUGUACCGUAACGAAUAAGCAUCGGCUAACUCCGUGCCAGCAGCCGCGGUAAUACGGAGGAUGCGAGCGUUAUCCGGAUUUAUUGGGUUUAAAGGGAGCGUAGACGGGUUUUUAAGUCAGCUGUGAAAGUUUGGGGCUCAACCUUAAAAUAGCAGUUGAAACUGGAGACCUUGAGUACGGUUGAGGCAGGCGGAAUUCGUGGUGUAGCGGUGAAAUGCUUAGAUAUCACGAAGAACCCCGAUUGCGAAGGCAGCCUGCUCAGCCGCCACUGACGUUGAGGCUCGAAAGUGCGGGUAUCAAACAGGAUUAAAUACCCUGGUAGUCAAG
rnacentral:rRNA from 1 species